rnacentral:tRNA from 1 species
GGAGUGGUGUUCAGUGGUAGAAUUCUUGCCUUCCAUGCAGGAGACCCAGGUUUGAUUUCCUGGCCGGUGCA